UUAUUCUCUAUUUUGGUUAGGCCAGUGUGUGACUAGGUGUUUCGAUUAAACAUGACGAACACGUACUACGCUGCGCUUUGGUCCUCACCUUCUUCCAAAGUCCCUUCAAAUUGGAGACUGAACAGGCAGGAAGAAACACGCAUCCACACACCACCCCCACAUCCUGUUUGAUCACCUGAUCAAGCUGAUAAAAACCCAAAACCCAAAGUGAACCAUCAAGUGAGUAUUUGUAACAUUUGCGGAGGUGGAGUAAAACAUGGGGGACAAUGAAGAUGAAAAGGAACAUUUUGGCUUUAAAGUAAAUGUUGAGGAAAACGGCAAUAAAAAAUGUAUCAAUAUGAUUAUGAAGUACGGUUUACAAAAUAAACAAAUAACAAUUAAUAUUGCUAAAAUACAUUUUUCCAAGGUUUUUUCGAAAGUUAAUUGUAAACGCAAAUUAGACUUUAUUGGUGCUUUUAAUGAAAAUACUGUAUUUAAAAAAAUUAUUCUCCUGAAACAAGAUAACAAAAUUGAAGAAAGUAACUAUGUGAUUUACAUCAAUAGUUUGUAUGAUUAUUUCAACGUAAUCAUCUAUUUCUGGGAAAAUCAGGAACAAAUAAAAAGUGUAACAGACCCCAUUUAUAUAAUUUCAAGGUGUUAUAUUUCUAGAAUGGAUAGGAAGAACUUCUAUAUUAAAACUGAGCUCAGAAUUAACAAUACAGAUAUUGACACUGCUAUUAAGGAAGGCAAACUUAACGUAUCUGAUAUUGUAAUUAAAGGAAAACAUUUAAAUCAUGUCCCAUAUAGUACAUUAGAUAAUAAGGUAUCGAAGAACCUAGAUUUCGGUAUUGCUCUCACUGAUAUAAUCUUUGGAAAUCAGGAAAAACUUAUUUGGAUAACUAAUCAUUUUGACAUCACUGCUUUAGUUGCGGUUUCAUUGUCAGAGGUAAUCAGAAAUCCUGUGAUGGUAUUUAUUAACCUAAUUGCAUUGACGAUGGAUUCCUUACAUGUUUGGAAUGAUUUCCACCGGCACCUGCCACCUCUAGCUGGGGGAACAUGGAGAAAUAAACAGGAGUACUGUCCCAAAUUUAUGACACGACUAAACCUUUUUUUUUCAAAAACAGUUUCUGAAACAUUUUCUGAAAUGAUUUGAACAUGGAUUUUCUUUGAUAAAUUUAAUUCAUUUGAAAAAGUUGUCCUUCAUGGAAAGGGCGGGUGGUGGAGGGUCCAAAUAAAUAAAACAUAUAUCUAUAUAAAAUCUAAUAAAAACCUACAAAAACAUAAAAUGUAAUAAAAUAUCAACAAAUUCAUCUUCAUUAUCUCCCAUGUUGCUCCACCUCCUUGUGGGAGGAGCCAGGCGGAGCAACAGAUCAGACUCCUCCAUCUCAUCCCACCAACUCUGUCAGUCCACCAGGCCACACCAGUAACAGCCAUAUCUUCACGUCACGUAGCUUCAGUACCAUCUCAUCCCACCAACUCUGUCAGUCCACCAGGCCACUGCAGUAACAGCCAUAUCUUCACGUCGCGUAGCUUCAGUACCAUCUCAUCCCACCAACUCUGUCAGUCCACCAGGCCACUGCAGUAACAGCCACAUCUUCACAUCACAAAGCUUCAGUACCAUCUCAAUGUGUUACGGUCCCCAGUUCGGAGCCUCCGGAGACGGUCCCCAGUCCGGAGCCUCCGGAGACGGUCCCCAGUCCGGAGCCUCCGGAGACGGUCCCCAGUCCGGAGCCUCCGGAGACGGUCCCCAGUCCGGAGCCUCCGGAGACGGUCCCCAGU